CCGUGUGGCCCUCAGGGCCCAUUUCAGUGCAAAUAAAAGUAAUGGCUGCUGCCAUCACAGCCUCUGGAAUCAUCCAGGGGAGCACCACCUCUGGCUCAUCACCACCAUCACUGAUGAGAUGAUAGCUGAGGAGAAACUAUCAUGGUUUGAUGCCUCCCUCACCAUGACAGAUGAAUACAGAACCUGUCCUGCAGCAUGCUGCACUCACCACAGGGCUGUUUGGGAAAUGCCAGGAAGAGCUUCGAUCCGUGGCUGGCAGCUGAACCCUUGGAGCACAAGACACACAGCACGCAUUGUCAUCCUGAUCGAGGAAGGACAUCACAAUGAGCACUUUAAAGGGCUUUAUGAAGGAAGCUGGAGGCAGUUCUCAUUAGUCUCACUGACAUCUUUUAUCACUUAUCAGAGGAACAAGCAAACGGAGAGCAAUUCCUUUGAUCAUGGCAAAAGUAGAAAGAGUAUUAAAAACCUUAUGAAGAUUCACUAAGUAGAAAGUGGAAAAGACAGUCUGUGGCAUGUUUCAAAGAGCAGGCUUGGAGUGUGAUGCUCCAGUUAGUGCGACAUACUGUUGUAACAACGCUGACCAGAACGAAUUGUGUGGCUGCUGCAAAUGACCUGGAGGUCGCAGGUGAAGUAAUACAUGGCUGGGUUAUCAGAUCCCCGUGUAUAUACACGUUGUUCUAAUGUUUGCUGCUUCUGGCCUGACCAGUUUGAGCGUACACAGCUCUGAAAUCAGAACCGGCCGAUUCCCUGCAGACCUGAUGAGGCAGCAUCUCCUCACUGUGGUAAAUAGAGGUUUUUGUACCUUCUCUAAUGUAUAAGGAAAGUAAUGUCUGAUUCUAAAAUAAGACAGCAUUAGUAAGAAACUAUGCAAUCAACAAUAAUCAUCCAGGUUUGACAAUUUACUGCCUCUUCAGUUCUCUUCUGUUCCAAGAAUAUCUUCAAGAAAUGAAAUGGCUUGUAUAAAUCAAAAUUGCCUCCAUCUUAAUGCAUGUUCCUAAGUUAAACAUUAGUCUUAACGUAUUUGGUCAAGUUUCACAGCUUCUUUGUUCAGUGACCACUGAAAACCUGGUUGAGGAAACAUUAGCGGGGAAGUACUGAAUGAGGAAAUAGAGGUUAAGUUACUUGAGCAAAAUUCAAAUGAAGCCUGGGGAAUCCAGGUCCCUUGGGUCCCUGUUCGCUGCCAUCGCCAUACUAGCUUUCCUUUUUGAGGAUUUUCAAUAUCAUCUCUGAAGUGAUAAACCAGAAGGUCGUAGGCUCUGUAUUGGUAGGAAGGGGACAUGUACAUGUUUUGGGGGAGGUUGAAUUGCUGGGGAAGAUUUUUGUUUUGUUGUAUGAAAUCACAAGCUGAUUUUACAGACGCUAUGCUUGACCCUUUGCUAACAUGCUGUAGGCUCUGCGGAUUCAUACAUGGAGCUGCUUUCCUGGAAGUCUCAGUGCAGAUGAAAUUGCAAUCAGGCCCUUAAGCAAGGUGUGUUCUUCUUGGGUUGCUCUGAAGGUGGACUCUAAGGAAUGAUAAAAAGCUGACUGCGGCUAAGGGGUUGCCCCAGAUGCACUGAAAAGGCUCUGCAUUAAAAAAGUUCAGUAUGGGGAAAUUAUACAACAGGCACAUUGCUCUUUCUUUGCGCCAUUCCUGCAUUUUUUUUGUUCAUUAUCCCUACAAUACAAAGAGGAGAACAACAUCUGUCUUUAGGUGGAUAGGGACAAAGUGACUUGUUCUAGGAGCAUUUUGCUGAUAUAACUUUGCUAAUAUAUUAUAUGGAAAAGCAUGCUCAGAAGGAAUUUGGCUUAUACCAACAAAAUAGUAUUUUUUGGCAAAGUUUAUUUUAGUGCAUUUUAGAUGAUGUAAAAUUUUCUCUUUGCCAAAUUGCACCACCUCAUAUUCUUAAUGUGCACUGCCAUGCCAACAAAAAUUGGUCAGCUUUGGAUCACUUAAUCCUUCAGAGAUGGAAAGUUACAGCAUCACCACAAGUAAAGGUUAAGGAAGAUCUCUCUGAUAUGCUGCUUUCCUGGUACUUGUCUUUGCCAGACAGCAUGUACUUAUGGACCCACUAAUCUUGUAGUCAACUGUAGGACAAGGGUCUGCAGACACAAUUAGCUAUUCACACGCAGCCUCACAGGAACCUGAGGAGAAUCCAAGGCAACUGUGUCUGGGAUGCUGCACACAAUGAGGGGAGGGAACAAAAGGGGGGAAAUUGUUUCCCUAUUGUUCUGGUCUUUCACCACAAACUACUGUAGAGGUGGAGCAGCAUCAUGGCCAUGCUUCCUUUCUGCCUUAACUCCAAGCUGCCUGAGCAUGGUGCAGGCUGCAGGCAUGCUUCUUUUGUCACUGCUUUGUCACUGAUUGAGACGUGAUCCUAGAAGAAAGUGUUACCGUUGGUCCAUUUUGACUGUCCUGCAAUAUGGUAUGUUGUGGGAAGAUUAGUCCUUAAGUCUCUUAAAUACUCUUAAUUCUCUUACUUUUAAUAUAACUAGAAAAAAAUAAAAUUAUAUGUCAGUUAUUAUAAUCCACAUAUUUUGAGUUUAAUGCCUAGCUGGUAAUACCUACUUAAAAUAUUAACUUUCCACCCUAGACCCUUCUAUUAUUCUGUAUUUUUUCCAAGCCGUUCACAUUGUAACAAUGCACAGUAAUGUUUUUCAGGUUGAAUGCAUUUUCAAAUGGCUGAUUCUUUUAUAUGUCUGGGAGGCAACUUAAUACAGCUAUUUCUAAUUCAUAAACAAUGCAGCUGUGGUGCAUGUAGUAUUUGUAGCUGGAGCACAGGCCUAGAAAUACUCAGCGGACUACAUUCUGCAGAAAAUAAUGACCCAUGCUAGCAUGACCUGUUAAUUACAAUGUUUCUAACAAUUAAUUUAUCAGAUUAUUAUCAGUGUAUGGGAAAAGCAUUGAGAAUGACAGAAGCAGGUAAACACAGGCUUUUCCAUUUGUUAGGGAGCUUUCACAAGAGUGUUAGGGCCAAGCUAAGUGUGGUAUUCAUAUAUGUGGAUUGGGUCCAUCAGAGAAUUAGAUAUGAUAUUGUAGAGCCACCAAAAUGAUAGUUGUAUGGUGUACCAGGCUGUAAAACUAAGGCAAAGUCCAAUUUACAUAAACCUCUGAAAGACAACAGAGAAGCAUGUGCUUAGGAUAGAUUGCCAUUAAUCAUGUGUCUCACAGCUUGAUAACCAGAAUUAACUGCUACCAUUAUAUUAGCCAGAUGUUCUCCUCAGCGGCACCCUUCAGUGGUUCCUUUCUGCUAUCUGUACGUGGCAUGUGGUAUGAAUUUUUUACUCAGGUCACAGCUAUUCUUAAAAAUUGCCUCAAACAAGAAUAUGCCUUCAAUGCAAGUCAUAAAACUGUGUCAGCUACAAAAGGGAAAUGAAGCACGUUCUCUCACCUCUGAUGGCAUGACCAUCACUUGUAUUUUUUACUCCUACCAGAGUUGAUUGCAAACCUUCCCCCAGAUCCUCCCCCCAAAGAAGGUGACUUCAGUAUGAACAGGACCAACCUCAGCAUUCUCAGAAAUGGCAAAAUGUUGUUUGACUGGGCUUCAGCUGGAAGAGUAAAAAACAUUUGGUGUCUGAAAAUGUGUCCUUUAGAUAUUUUCCUUCUUGAAAGGAAGUAAUUUCCCCCAGAGCAAGCAAUGCCUCUGAUUCUGCAGAUU